AUGUCGGGUGGAGGAGUUGACAGCACAACUCAUCCCUCUCAGGUUAACCCAACUUGGUUUCCUUAUAGGAAUCUUGGCUCCUUGGCAUCUUCAGAGUCUCUUCUAUCAAAGCACAGGCUGCCGAGGACUUGGAGUCACCGGAGCUGUGGUCUCCUGCUCUGGAGGAGGCUACACAACGUGGAAUUCCCUCUCUUGAGCACAAAGGACUUCAAGCAACUCAGAUCCUGCACAAGAAUCUUUGGCUGCUUGGCAUCUCCACAGCCUCUUCUCCCAAAGCACAGGCUGCUGAGGACCUGGACACUGCAGGAAUUUGGUGAGAGCAAAUGCUUUCAUUUGUUUAUGGGUUGGGGAGAGGUUAAGGGUGCUGAAUUAUGCUUGGUCAACAACAGAUUUCCUCAGACCUGACGUUAGCCCUCAGUGCCACAAACAGGAAGUCUUACCUUGGUAACUCUGUGUACUGCCAAAUUAAGCUUGGUCUAAGUCUGGCUGCUGAGGCAGGGGAAGAGGGGUUCGUGUAGACCACCAGAGCCCCUUGAGGAUGCCCCAUCGUCUUCGAGAUCCGACCCUACAGCUGAAACAGACGUAAGAUCUCUACACAGAGAAGAAUGAAGUUAGAUCUCACCCUAAAUAUACAGGAAACUAAAAACAGACUAAAGAGAUAAAAUUUCACAUCCCACAGCUGGGUUACUAAAAGAUAAGCCCCAGAAGCCCUCAUCUCUUCAGGGUCAAAGGCUGGAUAGAGGUUAGGGGACACAUUCACAGCAGAUUCACAAAUGCAAGAGAGGCUUUUGACAAAAAUGUUAAUGUCGCUAAUUAUUGAAAUGCAGGAAGCACAGUGAUAUAUGAUUUGGUCUUGUCAGAAUGACUGAUUAUUUUAUUCCUUUCAUCAUUAUUGCUUUAUUAGUAUUGAUGUUUUGCCUGCCCGCCUGUAUGUACACCAGGUGUGUGCCUGGAGCUCUGCAGAAAUAAAGAGGGUGACAGAGUGCCUGAAACUGGAGUUACAGAAGGCUGAGAGUCAUCAUGUGGGUGCUGGGAAUUGAACCAGGGUCCUUUGGAGGAGCAGCCAGUGCUCUUCACUGCUGAACUAUGCCUUCAGCACCAUGAAUUUUUUAAGAUUAAUUUUAUUUUAUUUUCAUGUAUAGAACUUGAGUCUUGUGCAAGAGCAGCUGGUGCUCAUGACCACGGAGCCUCUCUCUCCAGCUCUCCUCAUCCUGCAAUUACUGUUAUCAGAAAAGUGAAAGGUAAAUGUUGUCAUUGAUGUGGAGUAAAGGGAUCCCUGCACAGUGUCAGGGAGAGUAUGAAUUAGAGUGGAUAUCUUGGAAAACAUAGAGGCACCUGAAGUGAGAAAUACUACUAGGUUUGUUUAAGAGAAAUGAAGUCAUUGUGCCAGAGAGACAGCUGCAUGUCCCUGGCCAUUGCUGCAUUUUUGAAAAAGUCAAAAUAUGAAAUCAUGGAUGGAAUAUGUAGUACACUCACACAUUAGUCAAUAUGGAGUCUUAAAAGGAAGGAAAUAUAGUCAUUUGUGUACACAUGGAAGAGCCUGAAUGACAUUACAUAAUGUAAAAUGAUCCAGGCACAGAAGAGCCAAUCUUGUAUGAAUUCACUUAUGUAAGGAAUCUAAAGAACCUGAUAUGAUGGUAGUAGAAGUUAGGGUAGCAAGGAGCAGGAGUGGGCUUACAUGUUGAAAGAUUUAAAAUGUUGUCAUGUAAGGGGAGCAUUGCAGAACAGGGUGCCA
rnacentral:lncRNA from 1 species